rnacentral:rRNA from 1 species
GGCGGUUUGAUAAGUNUGAAGUUAAAGGCUGUGGCUCAACCAUAGUUCGCUUUGGAAACUGUCAAACUUGAGUGCAGAAGGGGAGAGUGGAAUUCCAUGUGUAGCGGUGAAAUGCGUAGAUAUAUGGAGGANCACCGGUGGCGAAAGCGGCUCUCUGGUCUGUAACUGACGCUGAGGCUCGAAAGCGUGGGGAGCGAACAGGAUUAGAUACCCUGGUAGUCCACGCCGUAAACGAUGAGUGCUAGGUGUUGGAUCCUUUCCGGGAUUCAGUGCCGCAGCUAACGCAUUAAGCACUCCGCCUGGGGAGUACGACCGCAAGGUUGAAACUCAAAGGAAUUGACGGGGGCCCGCACAAGCGGUGGAGCAUGUGGUUUAAUUCGAAGCAACGCGAAGAACCUUACCAGGUCUUGACAUCCCGAUGCUAUUUCUAGAGAUAGGAAGUUACUUCGGUACAUCGGUGACAGGUGGUGCAUGGUUGCCGUCAGCUCGUGUCGUGAGAUGUUGGGUUAAGUCCCGCAACGAGCGCAACCCCUAUUGUUAGUUGCCAUCAUUCAGUUGGGCACUCUAGCAAGACUGCCGGUAAUAAACCGGAGGAAGGUGGGGAUGACGUCAAAUCAUCAUGCCCCUUAUGACCUGGGCUACACACGUGCUACAAUGGUUGGUACAACGAGUUGCGAGUCGGUGACGGCGAGCUAAUCUCUUAAAGUCAAUCUCAGUUCGGAUUGUAGGCUGCAACUCGCCUACAUGAAGUCGGAAUCGCUAGUAAUCGCGGAUCAGCACGCCGCGGUGAAUACGUUCCCGGGCCUUGUACACACCGCCCGUCACACCACGAGAGUUUGUAACACCCGAAGUCGGUGAGGUAACCUUA